GGGCCGUUAGCUCAGUUGGUUAGAGCGCCAUCCUCACACGGUGGAAGUCACUGGUUCGAAUCCAGUACGGCCCACCA
rnacentral:tRNA from 1 species